CGCCUCUUGACCUACACAUAAGAGGUCCAGCCUGCCCAGUGAUAAAUUUAACGGCCGCGGUACCCUAACCGUGCAAAGGUAGCAUAAUCACUUGUUCUUUAAAUGAGGACUAGUAUCAACGGCACCACGAGGGCUCCACUGUCUCCUUUCUCCAAUCAGUGAAACUGAUCUCCCCAUGAAGAAGCGGGGAUUUUAUUAUAAGACGAGAAGACCCCAUGGAGCUUUAAGCAAUGUAUUUAUCUUUAUAUCUUUACACCAACCCAAUAAAAAGCCCUAAAUACUAGCUUUAGGUUGGGGGGACCGCGGAGAACAACUUAACCUCCACGACAAACGGGCAACGCCCUUAUCCACGAGCCACAACUCUAAGAAUCAAUAAACUGAUGUUUAAUGACCCGAUUAUCCGAUCAACGAACCAAGUUACCCUGGGGAUAACAGCGCAAUCUACUUCAAGAGUCCAUAUCAACAAGUAGGUUUACGACCUCGAUGUUGGAUCAGGGUAUCCCAGUGGUGCAGCCGCUACUGAUGGUUCGUUUGUUCAACGAUUAAAACCCU
rnacentral:rRNA from 1 species